UAAUGGCGAAUGAACAGGGACCAGCUCAGCAUGGAAAUUGGGGCCCUCCAGCCCUGAAUUGUAGUCUCGAGAUGUACUGCCAACGGAGGCGCAGAUGUAAGCCUCUUGGAAAAGAGCACCAAUGAGGGUGAGAGUCCCGCUUGUCAUCUGUAGUCCCCCGUGUACGGUGUGCGUUCUAAGAGUCACGUUCCUCAGGAUUGGAGCGCAAAGUGGGUGGUAAAUUUCAUCUAAAGCUGAAUAUUGGUUCGAGACCGAUAGCAAACAAGUACCAUGAGGGAAAGGUGAAAAGGACUUUGAAAAGAGAGUUAAAAGUGCCUGAAAUUGCUGAAAGGGAAGCGAAUGGAACCAGUGUGUCUUGGUGAGAUUGUCGUCCGCCAAUGCGAUUGCCUGCUGCCUCAGCGCAAGCGUGGCAGCUGGUUUUGAGCAGGACGCGAGCGGUGCUUCUUGCCUUGCAUGUCAACUUCAGUUCACAGUUGAGGAGAACCUCGGGGACCUGGUAGCCUGCCCCCGGGCGGGUGAAUGUUCCUGGGUGAACUCGACUGUGU
rnacentral:rRNA from 1 species